rnacentral:tRNA from 1 species
GUGUAGCUCAGUAGUAGAGUAUUUGUCUAAUAGGCAUAAGGCCCCUGGGUUCAAACCCUAGUAC